ACGCUAGCUACAGGCUUAACACAUGCAAGUCGAGGGGAAACGACAUUGAAGCUUGCUUCGAUGGGCGUCGACCGGCGCACGGGUGAGUAACGCGUAUCCAACCUGCCUCUGACUAAGGGAUAACCCGGCGAAAGUCGGACUAAUACCUUAUGAGGUUUUCUGCAGACAUCUAAUGAAAACGAAAGAUUUAUCGGUCAGUGAUGGGGAUGCGUCUGAUUAGCUUGUUGGCGGGGUAACGGCCCACCAAGGCGACGAUCAGUAGGGGUUCUGAGAGGAAGGUCCCCCACAUUGGAACUGAGACACGGUCCAAACUCCUACGGGAGGCAGCAGUGAGGAAUAUUGGUCAAUGGGCGAGAGCCUGAACCAGCCAAGUAGCGUGCAGGAUGACGGCCCUAUGGGUUGUAAACUGCUUUUAUGUGGGGAUAAAGUGAGCUACGUGUAGUUUAUUGCAGGUACCACAUGAAUAAGGACCGGCUAAUUCCGUGCCAGCAGCCGCGGUAAUACGGAAGGUCCAGGCGUUAUCCGGAUUUAUUGGGUUUAAAGGGAGCGUAGGCCGUGGAUUAAGCGUGUUGUGAAAUGUAGACGCUCAACGUCUGAAUUGCAGCGCGAACUGGUUCACUUGAGUAUGCACAACGUAGGCGGAAUUCGUCGUGUAGCGGUGAAAUGCUUAGAUAUGACGAAGAACUCCGAUUGCGAAGGCAGCUUACGGGAGCACAACUGACGCUGAAGCUCGAAGGUGCGGGUAUCAAACAGGAUUAGAUACCCUGGUAGUCCGCACAGUAAACGAUGGAUGCCCGUUGUUAGUUCACCUAAGAAUUAGCGACCAAGCGAAAGCAUUAAGCAUCCCACCUGGGGAGUACGCCGGCAACGGUGAAACUCAAAGGGAGUUGACGGGGGCCCGCACAAGCGGAGGAACAUGUGGUUUAAUUCGAUGAUACGCGAGGAACC
rnacentral:rRNA from 1 species